rnacentral:sRNA from 1 species
UGCUUGCUGUAUGCUACCCUGGCUGAUAAUAUCCGUGAUAGUGACUAUAGGCGGCAUCAUUUACCUUUCAAUAUUUCCACAUUUGUUGCUGGCUGUUUUCGGAUGUUUGAUACUGUGUCCUUUAAUAUUGACCUGGUAUCCCCUGUACAAACUCUACAACAGAUAUCGCCAGCCACUUAGACAUCAACCAGAGCAACGCCUUUCCUAUGGCUUGGAUGAGCUGUAUACCCUGAAUAGGGCCAACAAAGUACUCUACGCAUGCCAAUAUCCUGCUCCCAGUUCGUUGUAUUCUGCUGAAAUAAUGCCUUCCCGCCGUACAUCUCAGUAUACGGAUGUCGGUAGUCAAUAUGAUGCGAGAAGCAUGAGCGCUGAUUCAAAUAACCAUUACGUUUUGAAUAGUCCCGCUCCCGGUUGGAGAAUUGGUUUAUAUCCAAAAAUGUCGAAUAAAGUUUAUAUUUAGUGCUGAGAUGAAA